GGGGGGGGGGGGGGGGGGGGGGGGGGGGGGGGGGGGGGGGGGCGGGAGGGGGGGCGGUGGCGGGUGGGGGUGCCGGGUGGCGGAGGGGUGGCGAGUCGCUGGGAUACGGCUUGUCCUGGGGUGCCUGCGGGGGGGAGCUGCCGCUACUGGCUCAUACCACUGACGGCUGGAUGCGGGGCUGCUACGCGACUUUCACGCUAGCAUGCGCCGAUGUCGGAUUAGCUAGUUGGCGGGGUAAAGGCCCGCCAAGGCGACGAUCCGUAGCUGGUCUGAGAGGAUGAUCAGCCACACUGGAACUGAGACACGGUCCAGACUCCUACGGGAGGCAGCAGUGGGGAAUAUUGGACAAUGGGCGCAAGCCUGAUCCAGCCAUACCGCGUGGGUGAAGAAGGCCUUCGGGUUGUAAAGCCCUUUUGUUGGGAAAGAAAAGCAGCAGGUUAAUACCCCGCUGUUCUGACGGUACCCAAAGAAUAAGCACCGGCUAACUUCGUG
rnacentral:rRNA from 1 species